UCCUACGGGGGGCAGCAGUAGGGAAUCUUCCACAAUGGGCGAAAGCCUGAUGGAGCAACGCCGCGUGGGUGAGGAAGGUCUUCGGAUCGUAAAACCCUGUUGUUAGAGAAGAAAGUGCGUGAGAGUAACUGUUCACGUUUCGACGGUAUCUAACCAGAAAGCCACGGCUAACUACGUGCCAGCAGCCGCGGUAAUACGUAGGUGGCAAGCGUUAUCCGGAUUUAUUGGGCGUAAAGGGAACGCAGGCGGUCUUUUAAAUCUGAUGUGAAAGCCUUCGGCUUAACCGGGGUAGUUCAUUGGAAACU
rnacentral:rRNA from 1 species